AAGUCGUAACAAGGUUUCCGUAGGUGAACCUGCGGAAGGAUCAUUACCGAGUUAGGGUCUUCUAGGCCCGACCUCCCAACCCUUUGAUUACUGAACCUCUGUUGCUUCGGCGGACCCGUCUUUACAGACCGCCGGAGGAUUGCCCCCCCCAGCGUCCUCUGGUCCGCGUCCGUCGAUAGCCAACCUAUUAAACUCUUAACCAAUCGUGUCACAUGUCUAAGUCAAAUGAUAAAUUAAAGCAAAACUUUCAACAACGGAUCUCUUGGUUCUGGCAUCGAUGAAGAACGCAGCGAAAUGCGAUAAGUAAUGCGAAUUGCAGAAUUCCAGUGAGUCAUCGAAUCUUUGAACGCACAUUGCGCCCUUUGGUAUUCCGAAGGGCAUGCCUGUUCGAGCGUCAUUAUCAACCCUCAAGCCCUGUGCUUGGUAUUGGACGGUUUGGUGCGGCCACCGGCCCCACCCCUCCCAAAGACAAUGACGGCGGCCUGUGGUUCCCCCGGUACACUGAGCUUUUAACUAGGCGCGUAUCGGAUAAGGGCGUCCCGGACCCGGUCCUUCUCCUUUUACAAGGAAAUUUACAAAGGUUGACCUCGGAUCAGGUAGGAAUACGCGCUGAACUUA
rnacentral:rRNA from 1 species